AGAGCGAACGCUGGCGGCAGGCCUAACACAUGCAAGUCGAGCGCCCCGCAAGGGGAGCGGCAGACGGGAGAGUAACACGUGGGAACGUACCCUUUGGUUCGGAACAACACAGGGAAACUUGUGCUAAUACCGGAUAAGCCCUUACGGGGAAAGAUUUAUUGCCAAAGGAUCGGCCCGCGUCUGAUUAGCUUGUUGGUGAGGUAACGGCUCACCAAGGCUACGAUCAGUAGCUGGUCUGAGAGGAUGAUCAGCCUCACUGGGACUGAGACACGGCCCAGACUCCUACGGGAGGCAGCAGUGGGGAAUAUUGGACAAUGGGCGCAAGCCUGAUCCAGCCAUGCCGCGUGGAUGAUGAAGGCCCUAGGGUUGUAAAGUCCUUUCGACGGGAAGAUAAGUGACGGUACCCGUAGAAGAACGCCCCGGCUAACUUCGUGCCAGCAGCCGC
rnacentral:rRNA from 1 species